AUUGAACGCUGGCGGCAGGCCUAACACAUGCAAGUCGAGCGGAUGAAGGGAGCUUGCUCCUGGAUUCAGCGGCGGACGGGUGAGUAAUGCCUAGGAAUCUGCCUGGUAGUGGGGGAUAACGUCCGGAAACGGGCGCUAAUACCGCAUACGUCCUGAGGGAGAAAGUGGGGGAUCUUCGGACCUCACGCUAUCAGAUGAGCCUAGGUCGGAUUAGCUAGUUGGUGGGGUAAGGGCCUACCAAGGUGACGAUCCGUAACUGGUCUGAGAGGAUGAUCAGUCACACUGGAACUGAGACACGGUCCAGACUCCUACGGGAGGCAGCAGUGGGGAAUAUUGGACAAUGGGCGAAAGCCUGAUCCAGCCAUGCCGCGUGUGUGAAGAAGGUCUUCGGAUUGUAAAGCACUUUAAGUUGGGAGGAAGGGCAGUAAGUUAAUACCUUGCUGUUUUGACGUUACCAACAGAAUAAGCACCGGCUAACUUCGUG
rnacentral:rRNA from 1 species